GUUUCACCCCCAUAGAUCGACAUGCCCUUCGGGCUGGUUCGUACAUGUUCGGGUUUGUUUUUUAUUUUUUUUUAUCUGUACGUUCAAAACAAACAUUGCAUUAUUGAUCAAAAAAUUGUUGACCAAUGUUAUUUUAUAUUUUUUUAAGAGUAAAACAAAUGUACACAAAUAUUUCCUUGUUACUAAUUAUGAGAUUUUCAGGCUUGUGGAGAACAGCUUUUUUUUAUCUACUGUUUGGCUGGCCAAUGUAAAUAAACAAUGAUUUCAUGAAUGCAGCGAGAGAGUUUAUUUGAUGUAUUUUAAAAUCACUGAUAAUAUUUAUUGAUGUAUUUUAAAAUCACUGAUAAUAUUUAUUGAUGUAUUUUAAAAUUACUGAUAAUAUUUGUUUUGUGGCUGGAAGAUGGUAACCAUGGUGACUUGUGAAUUUUUAUGAAGAUUAAUAAAAAGCAGUAAAAAUUAUUAA